rnacentral:lncRNA from 1 species
GUGUGAGCAGCGAGCGAAUGAGCAAGAGCGUGUGACAACAGAGGAUGACAGGCUGUGAGGUUCGAAGCAGGAAGGACACACUCCAUAAGUCUCGGCACUGCUCAUCAGCCCAUGUGUCAGCACGCUCUUGCUGAUGGGAGCAGCGGGGAGAAACGCCAUACUGGGAAGUCACUGCUGGUGUGGGACAAGUUACAAGAUGCUUCUGGGGGAGGAAAAUGUGUAUCAUCAACUCCUCAGGACAGUGAAGCCUGCUCAGUCUAGACUUACAUGAGAGACUACUCAAUGACUCUCACAGAAAAGAGAUCUUCCCAAGGUGACAUCUUCUCCUCCUAAGCCAAUAAGGUCAUCUUACUCACAGUCCACUUCCAGGAACUGACCCCAAAUGGACAGAAUCUACUUAUAUCAUGGCACAGCUGUCAACUUCUCUUGCUAAAGAAGAGAAUAACGCUCACAAAAUUGCCCCAGAUGGCGGUGCAACAUUUUUGGGCCAAGUACUACAACUGAAAAGCAUGAACAGAGUUUUACCAGCGGGUUACAGGUUUGUUUAUAUGAAAAUUGCACUCCCUGUUUAUUUCUAAUAGGGAAAAUAUUUCUGAUGGUAUAUGAUUCCUAAAUGAAAUGAUGCUAACAAAUGUUCACAUAUUUUGUGAGGGAGAACACAGCAAAUUGUAAGAUAUGAUCUGCAGAUAUCAAACUCAUUUUCUUUACUGGAAAACAGGUCUGACUGCAUGGCACGAUUAUGUUGGGAAAAAUGCAGCUAUAGUUCUCUUCAUUUGGAACACGAACGUAUAUCACAAAGCUAACCAGAUCACAUUCAUUCAGUAGCAAACACAAAUCAACUGUGGCUAGCAAAUGUGUGUACAAAAUACAUUGACAUCAAUACCAGUUUGGUGCUUUCUUGUGAUCAAAUCCAGGGAAAUAGAAAUCAGCCAUCUAAAACUUAACCACUUGCAAAAGAGCAUUUAUGUUACCAGCAGUUUAAAGGAAAUGAAUGUUCAUUGAAGAGCAGCCUAUGCUGAACUCUCAUUUUUACAUGUAUUCAACUAUAUAUAUGCUGGCUCAUCAUUUUAAAACUAUUAUCAGCCAGGUGCAGUGGCUCACGCCUGUAAGCAUUUUGAGAGGCUGAGGUGGGUGGAUCAUGAGGUCAGGAGAUCGAGACCAUCCUGGCUAACACGGUGAAACCCCAUCUCUACUAAAAAUACAAAAAAUUAGCUAGGCAUGGUGGCGGGUGCCUGUAGUCCCAGCUACUUGGGAGGUUGAGGCAAGAGAAUCACUUGAACCCAGGAGGCAGAGGUUGCAGUGAGCCGACAUGCGCCACUGCACUCCAGCCUGGGUGACAGAGUGAGACUCCAUCUCAAAAACAAACAAACAAACAAGCAAACAAAAAAAUUAUAUUAUCAUUUAUUAAAUGUGAUUAGGUAGCUCUGGAUCCUUGGUCUGUUAUUUUUUUUAAGGCAUAAUAAGACCAGGACUUAAAAAAAAACACCCUGUAAAAUGUACGCUUUUUAAGAAAUAAUAGAAGUCACUUUUAUUCUAACAUGCUAUCUUUAUUGAAAUAUUUUAAACAUUUAUUGCAAAAACAAUAAAUGCUUUUUAUUUUUCAAACAUAAACAAUACUUAAGUAUAAAAGUAAAAACUGAACAUUGCAUAUAACCCUGGUCCAUCCCAUUUCCUGCAGAAAACCACUAUUAACAGUUUUAUGCUUAUACUUCUAGAUGUAGUUUUAUUUCCUGAAACUUUCUCUUUUACUAAAUACUGUAUCUUAGAGAUGUUUUGAUAUCAGUACAUACAGAGAUACCUUAUUGUUUCACAGUAUUUCAUAGAACAGAUGUACCAUAACUUACUUCCAACUGAUAAACAUUUAGAUUGUUCUCAACGUUUCACACAUAAAAACAAAACUGCAGCGAUUAUUCUUUGCACGCACAUCUCUGCAUAAUAUAAAAACAUUUCUGAGGAUUUCUAGAAUUGAAUUAACAUGUCAAAGGAUCUACAUGUUUUAUAUUUUAAUACAUUGUAUUCAUCAAAACAUUUUUUUCUGAGUUUCUCAUUAGAUUAGAUAAGCUGUGUUUUGUUUUGUUUGUCUUAGCUCUUGUUUAACUUCUAGAAAACUAGUGACAUGCUCUUGGAGAAGCCCCUCUUACAGAAGGCCAAAGAAGCUGAGAAAGCACAGAGGAAAUAAUCAAGGCUCACCUGGGAAAGCAACACAGCUUCACCAUCAUUCUCUCGUCCCUGAGAAAAUAAAUCAAAACAAACAAGUAUAUUGAGCACUGGGUGUUCAAAACCACAUGAAGAAUUGUUUUUUGUUAAAUUAAAGCCUUAAGUAGUCUUAAAUGAUGUAGCAAAAUAUGCCCAUUCAAUGUGGUUACUUACCUCCUCAGAUAUGAAAGGAUUUUAUAUGGCAGUAUUUUUAUAUUCUACGUUCUUACAAGUUUCACAUAUUCCAUUACUUAAGCGUUCAUAUUUCUCACAAAGACUUACAUUCCUCAGGAGUACAAUGUUUUAGAACAAAGAAUGCAUUCAAUAAAUCUUUACAGAGUUAAUCUUUACAGAGGACAAUUCUCCUGUAGACAGGAGUGAAUACAUAUAAAGGACAAAUAACGAGGCAAGGCCUUUGUACCUUUCAGCCAUCUGCAAAAUGAAGAACUGAAUUCAAAUUUUGAUAGGCAUGGCUUUCAGAGAAGUCUGACAGAAGCUAUGCAUGAAUUUCUUUUUUUCUCUUUUACAGUUCCCUUCUUACUUAAAAAAAAAAAAUCCUGAAGUGGCUUAGUGAUAUAAACUAUGGAGAGAGGUGUGGGUGGUUCUUUUAAGUGCACAAUAACCAACAGGUCUCCCUCCUGGAAAAAUUCUCAGAUGCUGAGGAAGAUAUUUCCUGUGGCCAAAAGAUUUUCUUCACUAGUUUUUGUCAAAAUGUCUUUUCGCAGUUUAAGUUCUCUGACGUUGACUGAUGUGGGCCCACUUGCAAAAGGCCUUCCCACAUAUCUCAUAGAGUUUAUCUCUGGAAGGAAUUCUUCAAUGCCAAGUGAGGAUGAGCUGCAGGUCACAGCUUUCCUACUGCCACUGAAUUCAGAGUGCUUCUCCUCAGUGUGGCUCUCUAUGUAUCA